GGUCCUGUAGUGUAGCGGUUAUCACAUGGGAUUCUGAUAAGCAGAAACUCCCCUGCUUUCCCAUGACCCAGGUUCGAUUCCUGGCAGGACCU